rnacentral:rRNA from 1 species
GACGAACGCUGGCGGCGUGCUUAACACAUGCAAGUCGAACGGAAAGGCCUGCUUUCCCUUGUGGAUUGCGGGUACUCGAGUGGCGAACGGGUGAGUAACACGUGAGUGAUCUGCCCCCAACUUGGGUAUAAGCCUGGGAAACUGGGUCUAAUUCCCGAUAGGACUGCAGGGUGGUGCCUGUGGUGGAAAACGAUUUUCUAGUGGUUGGGGAUGAGCUCGCGGCCUAUCAGCUUGUUGGUGGGGUAAUGGCCUACCAAGGCGGCGACGGGUAGCCGGCCUGGGAGCGGGGACAGACACAGUGGGACGGAGACACGACCAGGACGCGAGGGGGAGGCAGCGGGGGGGAAGAUAGGACAGGGGGCGGAAGCGUGAGGCGGCGAGGCGGGGUGGGGGGUGGCGGCCGGUGGGUUGUAAGCUCCUUGGGACGGCGAGAAAGCCACCUGGUUGGAAGGGUGGUGACGGUAGUGGAAGAAAAAGCACCGGCUAACUACGUG